rnacentral:rRNA from 1 species
UAGGGAAUCUUCGGCAAUGGGGGGAACCCUGACCGAGCAACGCCGCGUGAGUGAAGAAGGUUUUCGGAUCGUAAAGCUCUGUUGUUAAGGAAGAACGAGUGUGAGAAUGGAAAGUUCAUACUGUGACGGUACUUAACCAGAAAGGGACGGCUAACUACGUGCCAGCAGCCGCGGUAAUACGUAGGUCCCGAGCGUUGUCCGGAUUUAUUGGGCGUAAAGCGAGCGCAGGCGGUUAGAUAAGUCUGAAGUUAAAGGCAGUGGCUCAACCAUUGUAGGCUUUGGAAACUGUUUAACUUGAGUGCAGAAGGGGAGAGUGGAAUUCCAUGUGUAACGGUGAAAUGCGUAGAUAUAUGGAGGAACACCGGUGGCGAAAGCGGCUCUCUGGUCUGUAACUGACGCGGAGGCUCGAAAGCGUGGGGAGCGAACAGG